AACCAUUCUCACCUGCGGCUAGACCUGCGGAAGGAUCAUUAAACAACUAGGCCGUAACAAGCCUUGAACCCUUCUCUACGCGCACCCUUACCUUCUCCUUCGGCGGGUCAGCGCCCGCCGUCGGAACCAACAAACCCCCUUUUGCAUCUAGCAUACCACCCGUUCCGAUACAAAACACAAUCGUUACAACUUUUAGCAAUGGAUCU
rnacentral:misc_RNA from 1 species